rnacentral:rRNA from 1 species
UACAGAGGGGGCAAGCGUUAUUCGGAAUUAUUGGGCGUAAAGGGCGCGUAGGCGGCCUUGUAAGUCUUGGGUGAAAUCCCUCAGCUCAACUGAGGAACUGCCUCGGAUACUGCAAGGCUUGAGGCCGGGAGAGGUGAGUGGAACUGCGAGUGUAGAGGUGAAAUUCGUAGAUAUUCGCAAGAACACCAGUGGCGAAGGCGGCUCUCUGGACCGGUUCUGACGCUGAGGCGCGAAAGCGUGGGUAGCAAACAGG